UACAGAGGGUGCGAGCGUUAAUCGGAGUUACUGGGCGUAAAGGGCGCGUAGGCGGCGUGACGAGUGUGAUGUGAAAGCCCCGGGCUUAACCUGGGAAGUGCAUCGCAAACGGUCAUGCUGGAGUAUGUGAGAGGGUGGCGGAAUUUCCGGUGUAGCGGUGAAAUGCGUAGAGAUCGGAAGGAACGUCAAUGGCGAAGGCAGCCACCUGGCACAAUACUGACGCUGAGGCGCGAAAGCGUGGGGAGCGAACAGGAUUAGAUACCCUGGUAGUCCACGCUGUAAACGAUGAGAACUAGAUGUUGGCUGGGGAACCAGUCAGUAUCGAAGCUAACGCGAUAAGUUCUCCGCCUGGGAAGUACGGCCGCAAGGUUGAA
rnacentral:rRNA from 1 species